CCUGACCCAUGUCUGUUGUCAGGACAACAGCCACCAUAGCAACCAGGCUGACUUCCCUCUUGAAUGUUGGCUUCCAGCUCGACUGAAGCCAGGCAAGGAAGUCGGGAUCCUAAAUAUCACCAGCAUCACUCUGUCAAGAACUCUCUCCUGUGACCUUUCUCAGAAAAGAAAUGCAAUGACAGUUUGAAACCUGGCCAGGACAUCCAUGUCUACAACUGCCAGCGGUUGGGCCAGCGCCUUUCUGAAAGGCUUGCCCAGGAUCCUAGGCAGUCUUUUUGAAGGGACUCAGAAAUUACCACCAUGCAGGAAAAGUCAAACCGUGUGCUAAUUAGGGUUGGUGACGUGGACCACAAGUCUCAAUCAUCAGUUUGCAUCUUACUAAGGUAAAGUGUAGAGAAACACUCUUUUUAAAAGAGUUAAGCAACCUCAGGAAUAAAUGCAUGUCUGAAACGUUGACUUACAUCAGUCAAGUACGGCUAUAUUUAAAAGGUAAAGUUCAAGUUUUUCUCCUUCAAAAAAUGUCACCCAGGGAUCUGAUUUGCAGUAUUGAUUACUGGACAUUAACGUCAUCAUAUCAGCUAUGAAAAAACGUAGGUCUGGAAGCAAAGGGGAUAGAUAUGUAGAGAGAUUAAUAGUGUGACGGGUACUAUUGUAAAAUCACAACCAUUUUGUCACAUUACUACCUAUCUCUCCUACCUGAAGGACGUUCAAAUGGGAUUUAAGAGCUUAACCACUUUUAAUUAUACUCCUAAUAACACAUCAAACUUAUAUUUAUUAGCUUUUUUUUCUUACAUUCAUUUUAAGCCUUGCUUUAGGUCUUUCUUUAAAAUAUAAUGUGCUAGGCUGGUAGGAUUGCUCAGUGGGUUAAGGUACUGUCUACUGAGCUUAGCAACUCUGUUCAACUCCUGGGACUUAUAGGGUAGAAUGAGAAGACAGACUUCUGUAACUUAUUCUUUGACCUACUUAUACCAUAUACCUUCUCCCUCAAAUAAAUAAAUAAAUAAUCAAAUUAAUUAAUUAAAAAGUAAAUAAGAUGCAACAUGUGCCUUAGCCGCUUUCCUAUUGCUGUGAUAAAGCACUGUGACCAAGGUAACUUACAGAAAACAGCAAAGCCUACCCCUAGUGACACACCUUCCCUAACAAGGCCACGCCUCCUAAUCCUUCCUAAACCGUUCCACCAAGCAUUAUUCAAAUUGCCACAAUGUGCAUAUUCGAUUGGUAGCUGGCACCGGAUAUCUUUAUGCUGGGAAGAACUGACCCAUGUGGGGGUGCAGUUUGUAAGUUUAAUAUCCUUUACGUUUGAUGAUAUGUUGUGCUCAUUUCCUUUCAUAUUCGUUUUUUGAGUAAAACCUUUUCUUUGAAGUUAGAUCAGAUUAGAGAUAAGAUAGGUGGGUAGACAGAUACAGAUGGGAAAAGACAUACACUAUCUCUUUGGCUGAUCUUUUAAAGUUAAUCAAUUUUGAGGCAGAAUCUCACUAUAUAGCCCUGACUGGCCUGGAUUCUCUGUGUAGACAGACUAGUCUCAAACUCAUGGAGAUCUGUCUGCCUCUGCCUCUUGAAUGCUGGGUUAGAGGAGCUUGUCACAGUUCCCCACUAACUGUAAUUACUUUUAUUGACAUAUAUGCAUGUACCCCUUUAUCAGUAUGUGCACUGCAUAUGUGAAGGUGGCCUCAGAAGCCAGAGGAAGGGAUUGGAUCCCCUAAGAAGGGAGGUAUAGAUGGUCGUGAACCACCUGAUGUGGGUGCAGGGGGUGGGACCUGGCUUCUCUGUGAGAACAGCAAGUGCUUCCAACAGUGAAGCCAGCUCCAGUCUUGUAGUGGUCAUGUAAGUAUCUUAUUUACUAUUCAACUUAUUUAAUAUUCAUUUCUGGGGUAUUUUUUUAUCAAGACUACUGAUCUCAGAGUUGGUUCUCGUGAUUUUUAACACAUGAGUUAAAAACAGAGUUAUAAAGUGGUAGACCCCUGACCUGCCAUUUAGAGAACCCUGUUUCAAUCCUUAGUGUGUGGUAUGGAGCAGGGAAAGCAAGAGAACAAAUACACAAAAUUAUAUAUAUAUAUAUAUAUGUAUAUGUAUAUAUAUAAUGUAUGUAUAUAUGUAUAUAUAUGUGUGUGUGUGUAUUUAUAUCUAUAUAACUUUAUGUUAUAGAACUAAGUCUUCCAAAAUGGUGAAAUGAUUCUUUGAAAACAAAAAGUUUAUUGUAAUUGGUUACUAAUUUUAAACAUUUGUGACAACACAUUUCUAGUUGUUGGCCGAGUGCUUAUAAAAUUGCACGUUUCUAUUAAAAAAUUAAACUAUACCUGACUUGCAUUUCUGAGGUAGUUUUGAACUCUAGCUUCCUUUAAGGAUUGAGAUUGAAGGAAGACCUCAGGAUUCUCUGUCUGGGGACACACUGAGUGCUGCUUUUUAAAUCCCUCCUCAGAUCUCACAUCUGUCUGUCUCGACACACACUUGUGGCCACACCCUGUCGUUCAAGCAUAGUAGGCUGAAUCACUGCCGGGAGAGGGUAUUCAAUCUCUGGUUCCUGCCCCUGGUCCCUGCACUUACAGGCCUCAGCUCACACACUGAUUUCUUGUCCUGUCACAAACGAUUUGUCUUAGCUGCGAAGCUUCGUGGGGGUAAUGAGCGCACGGCUUUUUAGGGUUAAAAUCACAAACAAAUGUUCCCUUCAGAAUGCAUUUCAAUUUUUCUCUCCGGAGAAAGAAAGAACUAGAAAUGAGGUCCUUCUCUCUUCCUUGGAUCAUUGUCUCUUACCCUGCCCCCCUGACCUUCCCUUUUCAUUGACUCUGAAGGGAAGUGUGAGCUCUGCUCAUUUCAAAGGAAUGCCUGCUAUUUGGCAAUUGAAUAUGCAAACUCCAAUUAGUGGUCCGCAAGGUGCUGAGAGAACAAAACAAAACACAAAACACAAAACACAACAGGACCUUGUGUGGGGAAAUACUUGGCAGCUGCCUUCUAGCGACCUGAAAAAUACCUUCCUUGCUUAGACAUGAAGCCACGUCCCGGUUGAGGUGACCAGCAGGUCAAAAAUCACGUCUACAAGAAGGGAAAGGGAUCCCAAACCAAGCCAAGCAAAGGGUUUAAGAACAUGCAGAUCUAGGGAGACAGCUCAGUUGGUAAAAUGCCUGUUGCACAAACAGUGAGGACCUGCGUUUGCAUCCAUGCACAAGGAUGCUGGAUGCUGGAUGUUUGCUGCAUGUUGGAAGGCACAUGUCUGUAAUUCCACCCUGGGGAGGCAAAGACAAGAGGAUGCUGAGGGUUUGCAGGACUGUCAGUCUGGCCAAAAUAUCACACACACACACACACCACUACCACACACACACACACACACACACACACACACACCACAUGCACACACACACACCACACACACACACACCCACACACACCCCACACCACACACACACACACACACACCCCACACCACACACACACACACACACACACACACACACACACACACCCCACACACACACACUAUAAAAUCAGCUAAGCAAGUCAUAUACUCCAAUUUUAGGUGUGUUUUAUGUAUGGUGUCUCUGACUUGUUGCUAUUUCAGUUUUAAAUUACAGCGUGGUCUACAGUUUGAGAUAACUGAAACAUUUCCUGCUUUUCAUUCAUGAACUUCCAGAAUCUUGGUGUCAGUCAGGUCUUCAUCAGGUCUUCUAACACGAUAUCGGGACUGGAGAGAAACAAGUGGGCAGUGAAAUAAACUCAGUCAGGUCUGUUUUAGAACUGGGGAUAUUUACUUUGAGGGUAAAAUGUAUAAAAUCCGAAUGUCAAGAGAGGACACUGAAAAGUUUUACACACCUCCUUUUGUUACCUAGAACGUUUCUAUAAACGAAGAAGAAAGAUAUACUCCUUACUGUGAAGGAAUUCUGACGGAUUAAAAAGUAGUGUCCAGGAGGAUAUAUACCUUGGAGGCUUUGACAAAGAUGUGACCAGAAUUUCCAUUUCUUUCUUUCAGACAUGUGUUCCAACUCUCACCUUCUGCUUUGGUGGCUAAGUAAUGCUGUGCAACUUUUUUUUUUCUUUUUAAGAAUCUCUGUCAUGAGCUGGGUGGUGGUGGUUCAUGCCUUUAAUUCCAGCACUUCGGAAGCGGCGGCAGGUGGAGAUCUGUGAGGUCAAGGCCAGCCUGGUCUAUAUGAGUGGCUUCCGAGACAGCCAAGGCUACACAGAGAAACCCUUUCUCAGAACAAGCAAACAAACAAACAAGCCCAAAACCAAACCAAACCAAACCAACACAAAACCAAACCAAACAAAAAAAGAAACUCCAUCACGAUAUUUUGCAUUUGCAUAACAGAAUAUAUCGCAUACUGGAUGAAUUGAAAACAUUCCUUUCUACUUUAGGUACAUGUCUCCAUUUCCAGUUUGCAUAGUAGACAUUUUGCUUACGUCAUACCUAGUCCAUUAAUUUGCCCAGAGUGUCGCAUUCUCUAAGGGCUUUAAACGCCUCAUGAUUUAUGGGAACUGUCAGACGAUACUUUUGAGAACAUGUUGACUACUGUUCAGGACUUCAGAGUAGAGACUUCCUACCUCUCCCACCUGCUCUGUGGUCUAAAUAGACUGAGCAAACCUGGGUAAGCUAAGAACUGCAGCUGGCACCUGUGCUCUGAGGGAUAGACAGUCAUCCUGGGGUAGCCAAAUUUCCCUGUGUUAAAAAUAUGGGCUGAGGGGCUGGGGAUUUAGCUCAGUGGUAGAGCGCUUACCUAGGAAGCGCAAGGCCCUGGGUUCGGUCCCCAGCUCCGAAAAAAAGAACCAAAAAAAAAAAAAUAUGGGCUGAGCCUUGGUGCUGCUGUGGGGCAGUGGGGCAGUGGGACAGGACAGGUUGGUUAUUAAAUCAGGAAAGAGUCACAUAUGGACAUGCCUAGAUAAAACUUUUAAGGAGGAGGAAGAGGAAAGGGAGGAAGAGAGGUGGAUAGAGAGAUGACCAUAGACAGAUAGAACACUAUCUGGUUUUGUGUUAACCUGACACAAGUUAGAGUCAUCAGAGAGACAGGAGCCUCAGAUGAGAAAAUGCCUCCAGGAGAUCCAGCUGUAAUUAGUGAUCAAUGGGAAAGGGCUCAACCCUUGAUGGAUGGUACCAUCCCUGAGCUGUCCUAUAAGAAAGCAGGCUGAGCAAGCCAUGGGAAGGAAGCCAGGAAGCAGUACCCCUCCCUGGUCUCUGUAUCAGCUCCUGCCUCCAGGUUCCAGCUCUGUUUGAGUUUCUAUUCUGACUUCCUCCAAUGAUGGACUUAUGAUCUGGAAGUAUAAGCCAAAGAAACCUGUUCCUCUCCAACUUGGUUUUUGGUCACGGUGUUUUGUUGUAGGAAUAGAAAUCCUAACUAAGGUUAAGUUGGUGCCAGCAUAGUAGGGUAUUGCUUGACAGACCUGACCGAGUUUUGGGGAGGAUUGUGGAAGGACUUUGGAACACUGGGCUAGAAAAGCCACUGAGUGUCGGAAACUCAGUGGGAUGUUCUCUGGGAGCUUAGAAGUUAAGAAUAUUGAGAGCAGUGUGGAAGACGGAGGCCUGGCUUGUAAGGUUUCAGAGGGAAGAUAAGACUAUCAAGGCUGUUUGCUGUUUUAUUUAAGAUUCUGUGAUUCUGGUUAACUGAGGCUGAAGAAUCAGCUGUGAUUAACAAGAUACCAGAACUAUUGGAGUGAAAACUCCCUGUACCUGGUAAAAUUGGCGCUGGUCAGCUGGAGCUAAGAGAUUGGCAGCAAUUGAGAAGAGACCAACAUCACUGCAAAGAAAUCUUCUGAGAUAUGUUUUACUCUGAGAGAACAGAGAAGCUGUGUUCUAGAGGUGGCCAAGGUUAUACCUUGUGCUGGCAGCAGGACUUGGUGAUGUGUAAGAGUCACCCAGGUGAUACUGGUUUUGUAGGCAUGGAGGAGCCAUGGAGAGUAGCUGAGGCUUGGCACUGUGGGAAGCCAGGAGAGGCCGUUGGUGAAGAAGGUGCAGCCUCAGUGGCAGUUGAAGAGCCAGGACUGAAGGGGUCAUGUGGAGAAGUUGAGGCACGGCACCAGGAAGAGAGCCCAUGAGAGGCUAUGGGUGAAAGUGCAGUUUAGUUGUAGCAGAAGGCACCAGUGUUUUGAGAUGCCAGCGCCAUGAGAUGACCACCAAGAACAGCAGCAGCAGUGGAGAGAAGCCAGCCAGAGCCUAGAAGACGAGCUGUGUGAACUGUAGAGAAGUGACCCCAGCCCCUUUAGAGGAGCCCAGAAGAUAAUGUGAGGAUCGUAGACAUCGAGUUAUUUGUACUGCUGGAGUUUAGUUCUGCUUUGUUCAGAUUGUGACUGUGCCUUGAUUCUCCCCUCUUGAAGAAGGUAUUUAGUCUAAUUUUGACUUUUACAGGCACCCACAUCUGAAAGACCUAGCAAGGUCGGAUAUUUGGAAGAGAUUGAGCUUUUAAUGUGUUCAAAUUUAUAAAGACCGUGGGACUUUUCACGUUACGUUUUUAACGUGAGAUCUUGGGGGUGAAUAAGAAAGGAAGGGUUGUAGUGAUGUGCCGUGUGUCACAUUGACAAGGGGUCAGUUGUACUGGCUGAUUUUGUGUGUCAACUUGACACGAGCUAGAGUUAUGAGAGAGGAAGGAGCCUCAGAUGAGAAAUGGCCUCCAUGAGAUCCAGCUGUACGGUAUUUUCUCAAUUAUCGAUUAACGGUGAGGGUCUAGUCCAAGGUGGGUGGUGCCACCCAUCCCUGGGCUGGUAGUCCUAGGUUCUAUAAGAAAGUGGGUCUGACCAUGCCAUGGGAAGGAAGCCAGUGAGCAGCAUCCCUCCAUGGGCUCUGCCUCAGCUCCUGCCUCCAGGUUCCUGCCCUGCUUGAAUUUCUGUUCCGACUUUCUCCUAUGAUGGAUUCUGACCUGGAAGUGUAAACCGAAUAAACCCUCUCCUCUUCAACUUGCUCUUUGGUCAUGAGAGUUCAUGCAGUAAUGGAAACCCUGAUUAGGAGAGAGACUAGGAGAGAGAAGGGGGGAGAGAGGGGAGGGGAGAGAGAGAGAGAGAGAGAGAGAGAGAGAGAGAGAGAGAGAGAGCGCCCUUGGCAGUGACAUGAGAAAUUGACGAUCAGAUUGUGAACCCCCAGGUAGAACUCAGAAAUCAAAACGGGAAAAAUAUUAUUUUCAUAUUGUUACCAGAGAGUGAUGAAAAGAUAGAGUAGCAGCCGAAACCCAAGCGGUUCAUCGCUUGACGAGAGCUGCUGCUCUGGAGCGCCGUGGAGAUUUACGUCUACUCGCACCACUUUAAGAACCGAGAAUAGAUCAGGUGAAGACAUCAUCGAACCGGCAUCCACCCACGUCUGAUUUACCUAAUCACACAACUUAAAUGUACUCAGCACACCGUUAUGAACUCACGGUCGCUCAUCAGAUGUCUGGGUUUAGAUCGGUUCUUUCGGAAGGCCUCAUGUUUGGUCUCGGAGCAUGUGAAGGACUCAGAAUAGAACCCGGAGAGGCUUCUUCUGAAAUUAAAACCCAGGAAGCAAUGUUCUCGGCCCCCAGGAUGCCUGUUGAACCUCACUCUCCACCCGCUGAGGUCACAACACUGAUCUCAACAUGGACUCCCAACAGGGCAAUAGACUUGACCAGCAGUUGAAUCAACCGUGACACUCAACAGGCGUUAGCAUGAGUUCUCCCAGGCAUAACUCAAACGACAGAGAAAGUGUGAUAGACUCGUCUUGUUCAUAUUGUCUACUCCCCUGACAGUUUCAACGGUGGCUUUGUCCUGCGGUUGUUCCACAGAUGAGCUUCUCUGUCUAUCAUUGUGAAGGAGGAUUGGCUUAUGAUGUGUUCGUGUGGCACCCACAAACGUGAACAAGUCUGGGUCUCGGUAGUGAUCCCAGGUGGCUGCUGGGAAGUGCCCCUGAUGCCAAGCAGGCUCAACCUGCCUCAGUUUGGGUGUGCAGACAGACCCCGAGCAUCUGAAGCAGUUACCGGAGGUAUAAACUCUGUCACUCCUCUUCCUCUUUCUCUAUCUGCCUCACAAGCGCUCUCCUACAGGAUGGCUUGGGCUGUGGAAACUACUUUGGGAUGAGUACGGAGAACAGUUCGGAGUCUGAGGCUGGGCCUUCACCAGCCCUGGGAGAGAAAAUUAUGGUCUUGGGUGACUAAGGUGAUUGUGACCCACUUACUUCAGCUAUGAGGAGAAUCAAGUCUUCGAACUCCUACCCUGUAAAGCUACCAUUGGCUACGCCGGUCCAGACUACGGGUCAGUGUGACCUACGACUGCGUUCGUGCUGAACGUCUGCUCGGAAUGGCUCAUUCAUAAUUCAUGCGUCUAAGAAUGAAUCAUGUGGAUUUAGGUGGCUGCUCUGCCAGUCUCGCUUCAGAUAUUUCCACAGCAGACCCACAAACCUCACUUUUGAUUAAAUUCUUCCAUAUUGAAAAAAAAUUAGAAGAUUUGUUCUUUCAGAUUAGUUCAGAUUAGUCCUCAGUGGAACUCCUUUGGUCUAGUGGUCACUCUAAGCAAAUGGUCAGAGCAGAGUGUUCCUGAGUUCUGUAAAGUAUCACCUGCUAAAAUCUCCCAUUCUUUACCCCUCUCCUCCAUCGUCCCUAGUCCACAUGCUUUACAGCACAGGAUACCAUAAGCAUCAUGCUGAUAAGAAAUGAGAAACACUAGCCUUCUGAACCCAUCAUCGCAUAAGACCGCGGGGUGUCCUAUAUGAGCCUGGAUCACCCAAGUGCCAUACUGGCCUGGAAUAAGAUUCUACCCCCUAUUUUCUUAAAAGCAACUAACCGGAUAUUUGCUAUCUUUUCUACCUUGCUAGCUUUAUGGAAAAUAGACCUGGAAGCAGGAAAUCGUGCUCGCCGUCCUGAAUAUUCUCACCCUUGUUUAGGUCAUUUCUGGGGAAGCAGCUGUGAUAUGUUUUCACAGGGUUCACAACUUAAGUUCAUCUAAACGCCGAAAUCUCCUGAGGAAAUCCAAUGGUCUUUCUUAAGAAUGCCUAGAAAGCACCACUCCACUGCCCGGCCCAGAGGAUACAUGAUACUGUGUUGAUCUUCUUACAAACCCCUGCUUUCUGAGAAGUCUCUCCCUAGAUGGGGCUUUGUCCAGUCUGCAGUGAUCAAUCUUAACUCCUAUAAAGCCGUGGCUGAAAUCCAAAUGGCGGCAUGCUGUGAUCUGGGCUCUGUAUUAAUAAGUCUUAAGUGGCUAUUGUCUCAACCAAAUCAUAAUCUGGAGACUAAAGAAAAUCCCCUUCUGUGACUAUUAAGUAGGAUUUCGACUCUAAGCGGCCAUUACUAUUAUGAAUAAGAGCACAGACUCAAACACAAACACAAAAGAAGAACACGAACCUCUCAUAUUUAAUUUAGUUUAACAAAGGAUUUAGUUGGCUACAAGAUAGCGCCAGGUCCCACCUGCCUUUAAGGACACUCUUACUCGUAAUCCGAAACAGCAAACCCUCAGCUUCGUGGCUCUGCCCUAACCUCCAGAACAUUUCAACAGUUGUGGGAUCAUGGGUGUGAAAAUUCGCUCUGCACACGUUGAUUUGUAACAGGUGAAAAUGUAAUGAAAGAUCAGAGGUAAUGGUCACUUUCCAUAUUCACCAGUGGAGUCGCAAAUAUAACCGAGGGGGAAUUCGGUUCGGUGAUGACGCUCCUCUCCCUGAUUCGUAAUAACGAAACUUAGAGAAGGAGAUGGCAACUGAGUGUUUUCGCCAUAGGCUAACACAGCAAUUCAAUACUCCUGGAUAAUUAUGAGAAAUAAAGACAGUGUGGAAUAAUGA